rnacentral:rRNA from 1 species
AAAGCUGUGCUAAUACCGCAUACGCCCUGAGGGGGAAAGCAGGGGCUCUUAGGACCUUGCGUUACUGGAGCGGCCGACGUCUGAUUAGCUAGUAGGUGGGGUAAAGGCCUACCUAGGCGAUGAUCAGUAGCUGGUCUGAGAGGAUGAUCAGCCACACUGGGACUGAGACACGGCCCAGACUCCUACGGGAGGCAGCAGUGGGGAAUUUUGGACAAUGGGCGCAAGCCUGAUCCAGCCAUUCCGCGUGAGUGAAGAAGGCCUUCGGGUUGUAAAGCUCUUUCGGCAGGGAAGAAACGGUUACGGCUAAAACCCGUGACUACUGACGGUACCUGAAGAAGAAGCACCGGCUAACUACGUGCCAGCAGCCGCGGUAAUACGUAGGGUGCGAGCGUUAAUCGGAAUUACUGGGCGUAAAGCGUGCGCAGGCGGUUUAUCAAGUCUGACGUGAAAGCCCCGGGCUUAACCUGGGAACGGCGUUGGAAACUGAUAGACUUGAGUGCGGCAGAGGGGGGUAGAAUUCCACGUGUAGCAGUGAAAUGCGUAGAUAUGUGGAGGAAUACCGAUGGCGAAGGCAGCCCCCUGGGUUGACACUGACGCUCAUGCACGAAAGCGUGGGUAGCAAACAGGAUUAGAUACCCUGGUAGUCCACGCCCUAAACGAUGUCAACUAGUUGUUGGGGAGGGAGACCUCCUUGGUAACGCAGCUAACGCGUGAAGUUGACCGCCUGGGGAGUACGGUCGCAAGAUUAAAACUCAAAGGAAUUGACGG